rnacentral:rRNA from 1 species
AGAGCGAACGCUGGCGGCAGGCCUAACACAUGCAAGUCGAGCGCCCGUAGCAAUACGGGAGCGGCAGACGGGAGAGUAACACGUGGGAACGCGCCCUUCGGUUCGGAAUAACUCAGGGAAACUUGAGCUAAUACCGGAUACGCCCUUACGGGGAAAGAUUUAUUGCCGAAGGAACGGCCCGCGUCCGAUUAGCUUGUUGGUGAGGUAAUGGCUCACCAAGGCGACGAUCGGUAGCUGGUCUGAGAGGAUGACCAGCCUCACUGGGACUGAGACACGGCCCAGACUCCUACGGGAGGCAGCAGUGGGGAAUAUUGGACAAUGGGCGCAAGCCUGAUCCAGCCAUGCCGCGUGGAUGAUGAAGGCCCUAGGGUUGUAAAGUCUUUAACGGGAAGAUAAUGACGGUACCGUAGAAUAAGCCCCGGCUAACUUCGUGCCAGCAGCCGC